rnacentral:tRNA from 1 species
GUGGGUGUAGCUCAGUUGGUCAGAGCACUUGACUGUGGCUCAAGUGGUCGGGAGUUCAAGUCUCCUCACCCACCCCA